UACGUAGGGGGCAAGCGUUGUCCGGAUUUAUUGGGCGUAAAGCGCGCGCAGGUGGUGGAUUAAGUUGUGGGUAAAAGGCAUUGGCUCAACCAAUGUAAGCCUGCAAAACUGGUUCACUUGAGUGCAGGAGAGGGGAGUGGAAUUCCCGGUGUAGCGGUGGAAUGCGUAGAUAUCGGGGAGGAACACCAGUGGCGAAGGCGACUCUCUGGCCUGUAACUGACACUGAGGCGCGAAAGCGUGGGUAGCAAACAGG
rnacentral:rRNA from 1 species